UACAGAGGGUGCGAGCGUUUGUCCGGAAUCACUGGGCGUAAAGGGCGCGUAGGCGGCUCUGCACGUUCGUUGUGAAAUCGCCCGGCUCAACUGGGCGGGGUCAGCGGAUACGGCAGAGCUUGAGCAAGCUAGGGGGCAAUGGAAUUCCCGGUGUAGUGGUGGAAUGCGUAGAUAUCGGGAGGAACACCAGUGGCGAAGGCGGUUGCCUGGGGCUUUGCUGACGCUGAUGCGCGAAAGCGUGGGGAGCGAUCCGG
rnacentral:rRNA from 1 species